CAGACGCAGAAAUUUAUACAUUGCGCGAGAUACUUGGUAAAAGGGACCCCGCAUGUCCUUUAAACGCGGGCUGUCCCUGUGUUUAAAACACCCAUCGAAAGAAGAGGGCCCGGGCUAGAGACCGUUCCCACGCCGCCCGCGGUAAUACCGCGCGGCUUGGGGUGGGUGACCACUUUUUAUUGGGUUAAAGCUUUGUAGCUUGAUUUUUAAUUUCUUGGGAAAUUUUCACGGUUAAAUUUUGAGGCGCUAAGAGAUACUGGGAUUCUAGGGACCGGGAGAGGUAAGAGGUACUUUCAGGGGUAGGAAGUGAAAUUCUGUAAUCCUUGAGGGCCCACCGAUGGCGAAGGCAUCUUACCCAGAACGGAUUCGACAGUGAGGAACGAAAGCUGGGGGAGCGAACGGGAUUAGAUACCCCGGUAGUCCCGAGCCGUCCCCUCUGCGCGUUAGGUGUGAAAUGUACUACGAGUUACCGGGGUGCCGAGGGGGGGGGGGGGGGGCGUGCCGCCUGGGAAGUACGGUCGCAAGGCUGAAACUUAAAGGAAUUGGCGGGGGAGCACCACGAAAGGAAGGAGCCUGCGGUUUAAUUGGACUCAACGCCGGGCAGCUCACCGGAUAGGACAGCGGAAUGAUAGCCGGGCUGAAGACCUUGCUUGACCAGCUGAGAGGAGGUGCAUGGCCGUCGUCAGUUCGUACUGUGAAGCAUCCUGUUUAGUCAGGCACCGAGCGAGACCCUAAUCUUAUCACCGUGAGAACUAUGCUCGAAUCACCCGCCGUCGUUAC
rnacentral:rRNA from 1 species